rnacentral:lncRNA from 11 species
CACAACGGUUACACGGAAGAUUAGCAGCAAAGGGAAGUUGGAUGUUGCAGUCGAGAUGUAACUCCCUUGAGGGGAGAUCUGGAGAUUUUUUGCCCAGAGGUCGGUUGGCUGAUGGCAUCUUGUAUCCCAUGCCCAGUAGGAGUCUGGUUGUCCUUAUGGCUGGUUUUCCUGUUGCUCUUUCUGCCUGGACAACAUGGUGGCAAAACGAAUUCAUCCGGAACAACUACAACUCCCCCUAUGACAACUCCUGGUGAGUAAAUAUCAACUCAAAUGGGUUCCUGACAUUUCCUUUUUAUUUCUUAUCCCACUC